GAUGAACGCUAGCUACAGGCUUAACACAUGCAAGUCGAGGGACCGGCGCACGGGUGAGUAACGCGUAUCCAACCUACCCAUUACUGUGGGAUAACCUGCCGAAAGGCAGACUAAUACCGCAUAGUAAUGGAUGGGGAUGCGUCUGAUUAGCUUGUUGGCGGGGUAACGGCCCACCAAGGCAACGAUCAGUAGGGGUUCUGAGAGGAAUGUUCCGUACAUUGGAACGGGGACACUGGCCAAACUACUGCGGGGAGCAGCGGUGAGGAAAAUUGGUCAAUGGGGGCGGGGCUGAUCCAGCCAGGUAGCGUGCAGGGUGACGGCGUAUGGGUUGUAAACUGCGUUUGUGUGGGGAUAGGAACAAUACGAAUAAGGAACGGCUAAUGCCGUGCCAGCAGCCGCGGUAAUAC
rnacentral:rRNA from 1 species